AACCUUUGAACUGGAAGUGUCUCCUGAAAUUUCACAGUAUUAUUUUAUAUUUGGAAAAUUUUAACCUUUGGCCAUAAAAAAGUAAAACAAAACGAUAAAAAAAAGUAAAAAGUUCUCAAACCAAUCCCAAUCAUGGACCGCGCCGGGUAAUCUUUUACUCCGGUUGUGGUCCAAGACUUUCAGUGAUGAACAGGAGCCUGGCGAGCAGGAAUCCGAGUUCAUUGACGGCAGUGGCACCAUUACCAUUACGAUUUCCGAGCGUCAGAGACCGAUUACACCGCCAAGUCACAGUAGAGGAACCACGUCACCAGUUCCUGGGACUCCAGACUUCAAUCCCAACCCAAUGCCGAGUCUUGGCAUUAAUUGCCUUGAACUCUCUCUGGAGUAAAGUGUUGGGAUUGGUGGCUGUGGUGCUGGGACCUGAUGGCUUGGAGCUGCUGCUGUUUCUUGGUGGUGUAACCGAUCUCUGACGCUCGGAGACUGAGGUGGAAAUAGUGCCACUUCCGCCAUUGAACACGGUUUGCUUCUCGCGCUGAGGUUCGUCCAAUAGGAGCUGACCUUCAUUGGGAGUGGAGGAGUAGGAGCAGCAGGAGGAGCAGAAGGAUCUUCAGGGGAAUUCUUCAAUCAAAACGGGAAGAAUAUCGUUCCUCAAGAGUCGAUACUGUGGCAGUAAGAGUUUUAGGGUUAAGUGGAUGACACUCUACGAGGAUCAUCCACCCCGCAAAUAAAUUUGGAAACGCCUGAAAGCUUUGUCCAUCUUAAA